rnacentral:rRNA from 1 species
UUCAGGAGGGAAGAAAUUGACGGUACCUCCAAAAGAAGCCCCGGCCAACUAAGUGCCAGCAGCCGCGGUAAUACUUAGGGGGCAAGCGUUAUCCGGAAUCAUUGGGCGUAAAGAGCUCGUAGGCGGUUCAGCAAGUCGGCUGUGAAAGUCCAAGGCUCAACCUUGUAAAUGCAGUCGAUACUGCUGUGACUAGAGUCUGGUAGAGGAGAAUGGAAUUCCCGGUGUAGCGGUGGAAUGCGCAGAUAUCGGGAGGAACACCAGUCCCGAAGGCGGUUCUCUGGGCCUCGACUGACGUUGAGG